rnacentral:rRNA from 1 species
CACCUCAGAUCACACGAGAUGACCCGCUGAAUUUAAGCAUAU